GUAGGUGAACCUGCGGAAGGAUCAUUACUCUUAGCUUAAGUGCCUGUCACUUAUUGCUAUACUCUAAACACCAAACUGUGCUCUUUUCUUUUUCACCCCAUUCUCAGUUCCUUAUUAUUAAGGACUGGACCCUUUCUUUUUCUACAACUGACUCAUUGUGCGUUGGACCAGAAGCCCACCAUAGCUCUCUGUCUCCACUCACAUCUGUACUCUGAACACACAGACUUAAUCUUCUGUGCUGGCCAGUGUACUUGUUGAACCACAGGAUGUGACUGUACUUAACUAGAUUAAGUAUUGGUUCAUCUACGUGAAAACAACUCCGAACAAUGGAUAUCUCGGCUCUC
rnacentral:misc_RNA from 1 species